AAGGGGUGACCGGUCAAUCAGUAACCCAGACACCAAGCCACCUAACCAUCAAGGAAGGAACUGCCACUUUUAUCAACUGCACCUAUCAAUAUUCCGGAGUGGUGUAUGUAUUCUGGUACAUCCAGCGGUCCCACAGUGAGGCCCCCCAGCUGCUUCUGACAGAAUUCACUGGAAAAGAGAAGAAAGAUGGGUUCUUUGCUGAACAUCUCAAGCCAGCCAGAUCCUUCCAUUUGGAGAAAGAAGCCAGCGUCCCGAACGACUCAGCCACCUACUUCUGUGCA